rnacentral:rRNA from 1 species
AUUGAACGCUGGCGGCAGGCCUAACACAUGCAAGUCGAACGAGUGGCGGACGGGUGAGUAAUGUCUGGGAAACUGCCCGAUGGAGGGGGAUAACUACUGGAAACGGUAGCUAAUACCGCAUACCAUCGGAUGUGCCCAGAUUGGAUUAGCUAGUAGGUGGGGUAAAGGCUCACCAAGGCGACGAUACAUAGCCGACCUGAGAGGGUGAUCUGCCACACGGGGACUGAGACACGGCCCAGACUCCUACGGGAGGCAGCAGUAGGGAAUCUUCGGCAAUGGACGGAAGUCUGACCGAGCAACGCCGCGUGUAUGAAGAAGGCCUUCGGGUUGUAAAGUACUUUCAGCGAGGAGGCGUUACUCGCAGAAGAAGCACCGGCUAACUCCGUGCCAGCAGCCGCGGUAAUUC